UAGUGAGUUUGAUCCUGGCUCAGAACGAACGCUGGCGGCAUGCCUAACACAUGCAAAGUCGAACGAACCCUUCGGGGUUAGUGGCGCACGGGUGCGUAACGCGUGGGAACCUGCCUUUUGGUUCGGAAUAACUCAGAGAAAUUUGAGCUAAUACCGGAUAAUGUCUUCGGACCAAAGAUUUAUCGCCUUUAGAUGGGCCCGCGUAGGAUUAGCUAGUUGGUGGGGUAAAAGCUUACCAAGGCGACGAUCUUUAGCUGGUCUGAGAGGAUGAUCAGCCACAUUGGGACUGAGACACGG
rnacentral:rRNA from 1 species